AAAGUCGUAACAAGGUUUCCGUAGGUGAACCUGCGGAAGGAUCAUUACCGAGUGAGGGCCCCUCUGGGUCCAACCUCCCACCCGUGUUUAACGAACCUUGUUGCUUCGGCGGGCCCGCCAUACGGCCGCCGGGGGGCACCCGCCCCCGGGCCCGCGCCCGCCGAAGACACCUGUGAACGCUGUCUGAAGUUGCAGUCUGAGACAACUAGCUAAAUUAGUUAAAACUUUCAACAACGGAUCUCUUGGUUCCG
rnacentral:misc_RNA from 1 species